GUAGUUACUGUCACCUCUUUUAGUCGGAAAGAAACUUCCGCCCGAGUCCCCACCAAACACGAUGGGUCAUUUCUUCACGUUCCCGCGUAUUCCGGUGUUUAUUUUGUACUGCUGCUGCUUCAUCAUCACCGCCACCACUGCGGUGGAUCCACCGACCUGUGAUUCAUCCUACGGAUGCAUCUCCUCCAUCCGGCAGGAGGACUGUGCCAAGGGCGAGAUAUUGAUCUCGGGCGGUUCGCUCAACGGUUGCUGUCCGGGUUGCCGCGGCGGUCGAACCUACCUGGCCGUGUGUAACCUGAACAUUCCCGAUCGGCGCUGUGCGCCGGGCCUGAAGUGUGUUGGGCGCAAGUGUAUCUACGAUCGCUCCACCUGUCUGCACACGAUGCAUCUGGAUAAGGAUUUGGUCGGCUGGAUCCCGAAGUGCAACCUGGACGGGACGUACGCGGCCAAGCAGUGCCGGGGAGAUCGGCUGUCCGGUCGCUGCUUCUGCUACAGCGAGGACGGCAAACGGAUCUUCGGCUGGGACUGGUACCGCAACACCGAGCGGAUGACUUGCGCCUGCAGCAGACGCCGCGAUAAGCUGGAGAAGGAGGGCCGCUUCGAUGUCACGCUGCACUGUACGCAAAACGGCAACUACGAGGAGCUGCAGUGCGAUUCGGGACUGUGCUGGUGUGCGGACGAGCUGACCGGCAGUGUCCAGCUGGGCACGACCGUCGUGCAUGAAAGCUUGUGGGAGCUGCUGCCCUGCUAUAACAGCACGCUGCACGGUGAGUCGUACCUGCGCCAGUGCGAAAGUGCGGCCCAGGCGCAGAAGCUGAUUCUGAAGAAGUUUUACGCGCGCGGUACCGUUGGCGUCACCUUCAACGAGAUUCCGUGCGACUACGACGGCGCGUACGGCCGGUACAAGGUGGAAAAUGGAGUCGUCUACUGCACUUGGCGUGACGGAAAGAAGAUUGGCUCGUUUCAGAUACGCUCCAGCAUGCUCUCGUCGGUGAACUGCUAUUGUGCACGUGAUACAAUCAUCUACCGGGAGGCGGGCAUACCGUUCACGCUGGCCUGCGGCGGCAACGGGAACUACGAGUACUCCCAGGACCAGAACGGGCAACUGUUUUGCGUCGACAGCGACGGGUUCGUGGUAACGACGGAGGUCGCACCGAAUGAGUCAUGCGAUAAGUUCAUCUACAACUCCGCUUUCUACGACGAGGACUGAUUGCUGUGGUGGUGGUGGCUUCCGCCUUGGCUCGCUUCCAUCGCGCCGCGUAUCUCCCGCAACAAACAUCUAAAACGUGAACAAUCAAGCCCGAAACCGAAAGAAUCUAAAUCCCGUUGAUGACAUUGGAAACCGGACCUACCGCCUAGCGCGAUGUGAAGGUGCGGCAAUGCAUUAACCAGGAGGGGAUUCGGGUAAGUGUAUCCUUUCCAUAACACUGAACCACAUCGCGCAUUGGUCGGUCGAUAUGUUAUGGUUUGGGUAACUGUACACCACACCACUCUGUAGCACACAUGUCUACUGUUGGCUCGAUCUACUAGAGCAGUAAAGGCUUUCGCUUCCAGUGACGCCCAGUGUCCAAGCGUUCGAUACAUUCCACCGGACUACUAGGUGGCAAACACGCCUGACCUUUCCAAUACACGCGGUAUGGCGGCUCUGCUCAAGCAAACCUGUUCCAGUUUUGCAGCUCACCGCAAUCGAAGCAAAAGUGUGGAAACGGUAGCCUGCGAGUUCAAUGUUUGCGCUCAGAAUGUGUCGGAAAGGUUACGUAGCGUGUCACAUGUUGGAAGGCAUGUUUUACAUCGCAAAUCCGUUUACCGAGCAGGAUAUUGAAUGGGGAUUUCUUGCACCUUUUUAUGAGGCCUAAAAAUGGAGCAGCAACAUACAACUAG